AACGAACGCUGGCGGCAUGCCUAACACAUGCAAGUCGAACGAGACCUUCGGGUCUAGUGGCGCACGGGUGCGUAACGCGUGGGAACCUGCCCUUAGGUUCGGAAUAACUCCCCGAAAGGGGUGCUAAUACCGGAUAAUGUCUUCGGACCAAAGAUUUAUCGCCUUUGGAUGGGCCCGCGUUGGAUUAGCUAGUUGGUAGGGUAAAAGCCUACCAAGGCGACGAUCCAUAGCUGGUCUGAGAGGAUGAUCAGCCACACUGGGACUGAGACACGGCCCAGACUCCUACGGGAGGCAGCAGUGAGGAAUAUUGGACAAUGGGCGAAAGCAUGAUCCAGCAAUGCCGCGUGAGUGAUGAAGGCCUUAGGGUUGUAAAGCUCUUUUACCCGGGAUGAUAAUGACAGUACCGGGAGAAUAAGCUCCGGCUAACUCCGUG
rnacentral:rRNA from 1 species